AUGCAUUGGCAAUCAUGGGAGAAGAUGGCCAUCUCAAAAUCCAAGGGAGGUUUGGGUUUUAGGGACUUGGAGCUGUUCAAUGAUGCAAUGCUUGCCAAACAGGCGUGGUGGCUAUUGGAUAAGCCGGACAGUCUAUGCACGCGCGUUCUAAAGCGAUACUACCCAGAUGGAGACAUUCUGCAGGCGAGAUGUCCUGCUAGUGCCUCUACUACGUGGAAAGCUAUAAUCAUCGGCAGAGAAGUGCUGAAGAAGGGUUUAAUCCGCAGAGUUGGUGAUGGCAUGACCACGGAGGUAUGGCACGAUAACUGGAUACAAGGGAGCAAAACUUUCAAACCAGUAUGUAAUGUUGGAAGCGAUCCCAUCCACCUUGUCUCUUACUUGAUGAAGGGUGAUGGUGAUUGGGAUGAGGAAAUUAUACAGAGAACCUUUAUUGGCCCGGAUGCGCUGGCAAUCCUUAAUAUGCCAAGGCUGCGGGUUGCUAUACCCGAUUUUUGGGCAUGGGGCCAUGAGAGAUCUGGGAUCUUCACGGUUAGAUCGGCGUACAGAAUGCUUAUGGAUUCUCGGGAGAAUGAUCUGAACCAGGUUGGCAGCUCUACCCAAGGGGAGGACAUUUGGAAAGCACUUUGGCGUGUGAAGGUUCAGCCAAAGAUAAGGAUCUUUUGGUGGCGGAUCCUCAAAGGUUUCCUGUCGGCGAAAGAAUUAUUAUGCCGAAGACAUGUAGGGGAGGAUCUUGCAUGCCCCAUGUGCGGAUACUAA
rnacentral:rRNA from 1 species